rnacentral:rRNA from 1 species
CUACACAUGCAGUCGAGCGAAGGAUAUAUAAAGAAAUCUUCGGAUGGAUUUAUAUAAACUUAGCGGCGGAUGGGUGAGUAACGCGUGAGAAAUCUACCAUGCACUAGGGGAUAGCCUCGGGAAACUGGGAAUAAUACCCUAUGACACUUACAUUUCACAUGAAAAGUAAGUUAAAGCUUUAGCGGUGCUUGAUGAUCUCGCGUCCCAUUAGUUAGUUGGUAAGGUAAUGGCUUACCAAGACUACGAUGGGUAGCCGGCCUGAGAGGGUGACCGGCCACACUGGAACUGAGACACGGUCCAGACUCCUACGGGAGGCAGCAGUGGGGAAUAUUGCACAAUGGAGGAAACUCUGAUGCAGCGACGUCGCGUGAACGAUGAAGGUCUUCGGAUCGUAAAGUUCUGUCCUAGGGGAAGAUAGUGACGGUACCUUAGGAGGAAGCCCCGGCUAACUACGUGCCAGCAGCCGCGGUAACACGUAGGGGGCGAGCGUUGUCCGGAAUUACUGGGUGUAAAGGGUGCGUAGGCGGCCUUGCAAGUCAGAUGUGAAAGACCAUGGCUUAACUGUGGUAAGCAUUUGAAACUGUAAGGCUUGAGUGCAGGAGAGGAGAGUGGAAUUCCUAGUGUAGCGGUGAAAUGCGUAGAUAUUAGGAAGAAUAUCAGUGGCGAAGGCGGCUCUCUAGACUGCAACUGACGCUGAGGCACGAAAGCGUGGGGAGCAAACAGGAUUAGAUACCCUGGUAGU